UACAGAGGUCCCGAGCGUUGUUCGGAUUCAUUGGGCGUAAAGGGUGCGUAGGCGGCGGGGAAAGUCUGAUGUGAAAUCCUGGGGGCUCAACCCUGGAACUGCAUUGGAUACUUCCUUGCUAGAGUACUGGAGAGGAAACUGGAAUUUACGGUGUAGCAGUGAAAUGCGUAGAGAUCGUAAGGAAGACCAGUGGCGAAGGCGAGUUUCUGGACAGUUACUGACGCUGAGGCACGAAGGCCCAGGGGGAGCAAAACGGGG
rnacentral:rRNA from 1 species